rnacentral:tRNA from 1 species
GGGCCGGUAGCUCAGCUAGGUAGAGCGAUGGGCUUUUAACCCAUAGGUCCCGGGUUCGAAUCCCGGCCGGCCCG